CACAGAGCCCGACGCGGGGCUCGAACCCACAAAUGUAGGACCAACUCUUGUGAUUAUCAUCAGCUAGAGGAAACCCACACGUCUCCCCCGAGCAACGUUAAGUGGCCAUGUUGCAAAGGACCCCGGGGAUUUUCUUCUUUGGUCAUUGUCCCGGCCAAAGUCUUGAAAGACAGGUUUUCAUUUCAUUGCCAUAUUCGGUGGCUAAGAGUCUUCUGGUUACGUUACUAAACUUUGGACUAUCUUAGAAUUUAAUUUGCUCAAUUAAAUGGCCGAAGAAACCCACAGAUGACUACGUGUACUAAAAUGUAUGAAAUCAAUGACACGUGCCAGCCCUGGGAAGAGGAGCCACUUCUCCUAGACAGAGAGACAGAGUAUGAGCAGGGGAGGGG